rnacentral:misc_RNA from 1 species
UUCUGGUGAGUGACUCAGUUGAGUCUUCUCAGUACUCAGUAGUGGUAACUGGUAAUAGAGCGUAUUGAAGUGUGGAGUGGGCAGCCACUUGAAGUUCUCUUUCUCUUUUCUGCUGAGCUGUGUCACUCAUUGGAUCUUUUAUUCCGUAUUUUGUAAUUCAAUUCUUUUGGAAAUAGCCCCUGCUAUUGUCAAUUGGUUCCAUUCCUUAUUAUCAAGUCAACCCUGGGACAUCCUCCUUUGCUCCUUCAUCAUGGCCUCAAGUUCCGUGAGCCAAGAUGACAUUGACACGGAUUUCGAGAAGAACUCCCGUCGCUCCCGUAUUCGAACGGCGCGUGCAGCCCGGCAAAUCAACUCCUCUUCCUCUUCGUGCCGCGCAGAGCUCCUCAUGGGCGAACUAGCGGAUUUGGACCAUAACGAUGCAGAGGAGGCGCCCUGCUCUGCACUGAAUGCGAUCCAUAGCACAACCUGUAACAACCACUCCUCUGCAGGCGUGGGGAAGAUGAUUCCGGAAGAGGAUUCGUCGCGGCGUAUGCGCGGAGGCGUCAAAAAAGGGAAGCAGCAUCGGGAGAGGAGGAAACUACGAGAAAAGAGGAGGUCCACGGGCGUUGUUCAUCUCGCAUCCACAGAGUCUACAGGAGGAUCCACGACUCCAGACGAUGCAGAGAGUUCGGACAACGAAACCAAAAGAAACACACUCCUGAAUGAAUCCGAUAAUGUACUCCUUCCCACUGUGCGACAGGCACAACAACAACUCCCCUCGGAUCUGGAAGCGGAUGACGAAAAUGACACGGAGCAAUCCUAUCACAAUAAUAGCAACAACCACAGCAGUAACAAUCUGAAUAGAGCACAACCUCCCUCCCAUUCUUCUUCCUCCUCCCUUCUUCCACUCUCUUCCCCUACUCCGACACCCGCCGACGAACCCAAAGUUGAAAAAGUGGUGGAGGAGAAUAAACGUCUUCUCUCCAUGAUGGACGAAAAAGAUAAACUCAUUCAUCAUUUAGAAUUCAAAAUUGAACAGCUCAUGAAGGAUACACUAAGCAUCAAUGAAGAACAGUCUCGGCUUCAAAAAGAAAAUAAAUCCCUUCUUCGUGCACUUAAUAAUUACUCAACAACCACCGCUUCAGAAACAGGAGCGACGGAGAACAAGGAACAUAAACCCUAAUACUAUAUAAUAUACAUUCCAUAUAUAUAUUACGUUACUUCACUCUUGAACAUUGUUCUAGAAAAAUAAGCCGCCUUUUGGAUUUUAACGUUGCCAUCAACAUUCUUAUAUAUUAUAUAUUGAUGUGUGUGUUUUUUUUUUUUUUUUUUGUUAUUUCUACUCAUCGCUUAAUUAUUUUUAUUUCUUUUUGAAAAUAAUCAAAUUUUAUUUCGUCAAUUGAGGUAUUCCAAAUCUGCUGAUUUAUUAUUAUAAUUAUAACCACAAUUUAUACAUGUAUAAAAAAAAUAUUAAUAUUCAUUAUGUUAAAAUUAUGUUUAAAGUUUAUUGUAAAAGAAUGCAAAUAUUAUAAAAAAGUAUAA